CGUACAGGACCGCUCCAGCAAAACUGCGGCGUUACACCGAAGAGGCGAAGAGAGAAAACCCAAAAAAAGAGAGAGAGACGGAUCAAAAAAGAGAGAGAGAGAGAGAGAGAGAAGCUUCUCUGGCUCUGUCAGACCCCAUGGCGACAGAUUUGGUCGAAGCCCCUUCGCCUACAUCUCAAUCGCCUUCCCAUUACAGCCAACUACGGCACUUCUACCUCGCAGUCGACCGAUUCCAGUUCAAAAUGGAGACGUUGGUGGAUCUGCUGGGAAUGGCGGGCCGCCGCCCAUGCCUGCCGAUGGUGGUGUGCUGCAGCACACGCGACGAGCUCGACGCGGUCUGCUUCGCUGUCUCCAACCUUUCCCACAUUUCCAUGGACUCUUUGUACAGUGAUCUAGCUGAAGCAGAACGUGCAUCGAUUCUAGAGAAAUUUUGGCAAGCAACAACGAGGUGGAAUCAAAUUGCUUCUUGUCUUUCUGGGGAUGACAAUGAGAUCGAGAAGGAAGAGAAGUCUCACUUGGUAGUCGUAACAGAUGCUUGCCUUCCACUUCUCGCGUCAGGGGAAUCACCUAUUGCUGCUCGGGUUUUGAUAAAUUAUGAGUUACCAGCAAAGAAGGAAACCUAUAUGAGGCGCAUGGCAACUUGUUUGGCAGCAGAUGGGAUUGUCAUUACCAUGGUUGUCGGGGGUGAGGUUGUAACUUUGAAAAGCAUUGAAGAAAGCAGCUGCCUUGUCAUAGCCGAGAUGCCCAUAAAUAUCUUCGAAAUGUUGUGAUUAUAUAGACCUCUUGGAGUGCAAAAGAUACAUUGGAGGAUUCUUUCCGAUGUGCAAGGUACGUUAAUAGGUGGAAAUUUCUUUUGGUUACAUGAUGCUUCAUAGGCGUGAAUCAAACCAAAAGCCGAUGAUCGGUAUGAUCUGAGUCGGCUUCCUUCAUAACUUGGCGUGCCUUCCACCACCUGAACCAGAUCCGAAGGCUCUGGAGAGCCUCUUUAAGCUCUUCACGGCUAAUACGACCGUCGUGGUCUUCAUCAAACUGGCGGAGCCACGCUUUGAAUUCGUCCACUGUCAUCUCCUCGCUGGGCUGCACCUUAAAGCAACACAUAAUAGCCAUCUCUCUCUCUCUCUCUCUCUCUCUCUCUCUCUCUCUCUCUCUUACACACACACACAC